GAUGAACGCUGGCGGCGUGCCUAAUACAUGCAAGUCGAACGAGGUGCUUUUGUAGCAAUACGAGAGUAUCCUAGUGGCGAACGGGUGAGUAACGCGUUGGUGACCUGCCCCAAAGUGCGGGAUAACAGUCCGAAAGGAUUGCUAAUACCGCAUGUGGUUAUCGGGUUUAGAAACCGAUAACUAAAGAAGCAAUUCGCUUUGGGAGGGACCUGCGUCCCAUCAGCUAGUUGGUGAGGUAACGGCUCACCAAGGCGACGACGGGUAGGGGACCUGAGAGGGUGACCCCCCACAAUGGAACUGAAACACGGUCCAUACACCUACGGGUGGCAGCAGUAGGGAAUAUUGCACAAUAGGCGAAAGCCUGAUGCAGCAACGCCGCGUGUGCGAUGAAGGCCUUCGGGUCGUAAAGCACUUUUCUGCGAGAUGAGAAAGGACAGUAUCGUAGGAAUAAGUCUCGGCUAACUACGUGCCAGCCGCCGCCGUAACAC
rnacentral:rRNA from 1 species